UACGUAGGGUGCAAACGUUGUCCGGAAUCAUUGGGCGUAAAGCGCGCGUAGGUGGCUUUGUAAGUCCGUUGUGAAAGUCAGAGGCUCAACCUUUGAAUGCCGAUGGAUACUGCAGAGCUAGAGUACGGAAGAGGCGGGUGGAAUUCCUGGUGUAGCGGUGGAAUGCGCAGAUAUCAGGAGGAACACCAAUAGCAAAGGCAGCUCGCUGGGACGUUACUGACACUAAGGUACGAAAGCGUGGGGAG
rnacentral:rRNA from 1 species